CGGCCAAGACCUGAACUCGUGCGCGCUCUGCCGCUGCUUUAGACGUGCAGCUGCAACGUUUGUCUGUCACUGCCCCGCAAACUGGAAACAAAAGGGUGGUGGAGGACAACCUUCGCCGUCUGCUCUUUCUCCUUCUCUGUGCAAUGAGCAGAAGCUAUUCCCCGCUUGGUUGUGGCCUUAUCGUGCACGGUGCUCUUAUUUCACCGUCUCCUUCCGCCUCUCACGCUCUUGUGUACUCUCAUCUCCCUCGCCUUCGUUAGAUGCUAGAUUUCCUGUCUCUCUGGCCUUUUUUCGUUUAAACAUAUGCCGAGCGCUGCUCUCGUCCUCUAAAGAGCUGCUAUCGACUACCUGGUGAUGCGUAAGUUUGCGAAGUGAUCUUUCGGCACAAAAAAGGAAACCAAAGGUGCUGCUUCCAAAGACAGCUACCGCCCCCCUCCCCCCAAAUCGAUAGAAAGCGGUGCCCUCUUUGCAGGCGGCGGGGUGACACUUUCAGUAUUUCAAUCUGCCAAGAUGUUUGCGGACUUGUUGGCCACAACCUCUUGUCAUGCGGGUGAUCGCAGCAGCGACGUGGGAGUCGCCCCGGUUUCACCACCUUUUUCUCCGCGCUGCACUUCAGCGUCUUCGUCCGCUGGAAGCAGCAGCGGCUGCCACCGCCGCCGACUUUCUGCCGGCGGCGAUGACGGCUCCUACUCACGCGUCUUGCCCUUCUCGCCCCUCGUGGGAACUGCGAACCCGUCUGCACACACGGAUGGUCGAGCGCGGCGACCUGGCUUCUCCGAGUGCCCGAGCCCUCUUAGCAUCCCUGAAGGGUGCGCAUCAUCGACGACGGCCAUGGUCAGCCCAUCCAGUGGCCACCCAGAAGGGCACAGCUUGUCGCUCGGGGGUACCAGCGAGCCGCCACCGAGGAGAUCAUCCGGUGGCACGCUAAGGAACAGCCUGGAGGGAUACAUCCCCACGUCGGACUUUUCCUCCUUUUCUUCGCACCACGGCGAUAGUGCGCGCUCGCCGCCAUCGAGCACGCGUACGCUGUCGCUCUACGACCACGGGCAGAAGGCGUCGGGCGUUGCGUCUUCUACCCCAUCUCGAGGAGCCACUCCUCUUCUCCCUGAGGGCGGCGCCAGUCCAGCUCUGGACGGCGCGGAAUCCAGCGCCGAUGAUGCGAACUUCGUCGUGAUGCGCAGUGGAACUCGCGAGGGUGGACAGCAAAGCCCCCAAUUGUUUUCUUCAUCGAAGUCGUCGUCUCCAUCCUCCAUGCUGUGUGCGCCCCCGCUUGCGCAGCCGACAACAGGUGCUGUGGUGGCUGAGAAGUAUGCACCGGCGCUUCAGGCACCACCCAGUCCGUUGCGGUUCAGCGUCUUGUACACCGAGGAAGAGCACCGCGUGCGGCUCGAGACGCGCGAGACGGAGGAGCGGCGAUGCCUGUAUCAAGCCCACAAGGCUGUGCUCUCGGUGUAUCGCAUGUGGGCCGCCGCGGGUGCCGACGCGGACUACGGCGACGGCGACAGACUGUUGCUGACGUCUUCGCGAAUGGACGAUGGUGCGUCGACGCGGUUUCUCGAGGACAACUGCUACCCGAAAGCUCCAAACGCGCCGAAUGCGAAGGCUGCCGGUCCCAGGGCGAAGCCAUCUCCUCUCGCGACCGCGACCGAGACCGCCGCCAACGCCGUUGCUGCAGAACGGGUGCGUUGUUUUUUGAAGUCGUCUAUUGACAGUGCCCGAGGUCGGCGUUGCCUCGGGCCUGCCCAGGAAGGCCGCGCCGCAAUUGACGUGCUGCCGCACCGAUCCACGACACCCCGCAUCACAUACGCAGGCUCUGACGCCGAGACACGCCGCGGCUCGCCUGGUCACGUGCCUCACCCACAGGCGUCCCACUCUUCUUCACCUGCUGCAUCUCGCAUGUUGGACUACUCAUCCGUGCAGAUGCCCCAGACAGCAUCAUCGCUCAUGCACAUUACAAGCGAACCACCGUCAUUGGUGCACCAAGCACGGCUGUUCUCGCCCUGGCGCGCCACUCACAGCGAUCAUCACGAUGCGGCGGCGCGGCACGCGGAAGGAAAGGCGGACGUGCAUCUAGAACCUCGUACAAGUCGGGAAGACGGUCGGGGUCGACCUCAAAGGAGGCAAAGAACGUCUCUAGUGCCCCACCUGGUGAGCACAUCACCUGCUGCCGUUCGCCUCUCAUCUGCUUCUCACUCUCUCGGCGCAUCAUCCGUGGCGCUGCGACGGCGCAGCCUGCUCGAGCCGCGGCUGUCGGCGGACACUACAGCGCCUCGCGAAGAUUUGCCAAGAAGCGCCGUGCUGCCCCCUGCACGCGCUGCCGCUGCCGCGCGAACCUCGUCACCGUCGCUUCGCACGGUCUUGUGCGCCGGCGUGGGGAACUUUUCAAGGAUCUCCACAGCCCAGACGGAGGGGCCUGGUGCGUCCCAGACCACGUCGAGCCCUGUGUGGAAUGCUAGCGUGAAUCUGGUUUCCACCUCGGCCGCGAGUUGCCACAUGAGCCCCUCCGCCGGAGAUGACACAACGGAUGAUCACGUUUCGGGAGGCGCCGUUCGCUACCCCUCCAACGAGGCGCUUCGACUUCGCCAGCGCGCUGCGUUGCCCGGCACCAGUAGCGGUGGCCUUCUGAGCAGCCCGCCGCAUGGCAUCGAUGCAGAUUGGAGGACAUUGCUGGCGGUGAAUCGCCUACAGGGCCACCGCCGUGAGCGACUCGGCAGCUACGUUCACUACAAGCGCUUCUUUGAUGCUGUCUACGGCGAGCAGAGCGCCUCACCUCUGGCUUCGCGCGAGCCGGAUGGGCGGCACAGCAGUGCAGUGCGGACUAGUCCCGUGCCCCCCCGCGCUGUGCGGACACGUCCAUUCAUGUCCUUUGACGUAGUUGACGGGGAUAAACAUGCGAGUGCGUGGCCGUGGCGGUCGUCGCUGUCCUCCUCCCUGUACCCACGAGCGCGGUCGCCUGAGCUGGUCGCUUAUCGCGACCUUCGCCGCUUUUCACCAAGCGGCUCAACGGCAGCCAGGUGCGCACCGGCGGCCCCAUCGAAAGAGCCUGCCACAUUUUGUGCAGGGCUCACGGGUGGCGCGGCUUCAUUAACUGUACCGGCUGACGCUACCCUCUUCGCUGCGCGUCUGACGCGCCUUUCCACGCUGGAGAAGCUAUGUCGCGCCGAGCUGCAGCGGCGCUGCAUGGAGGACCAAAGCCUCUUGCUGCACCACUUUAUUGUGAAAGGCACGGCAACCUUGCAGCGGGUCAGCCGUGCGACCGCCCCGCUGCACCGACACAGGCAGUGCGCGGCUGGAGGCACAACAGAGGCGUACCGAAUACCCUCCGCACGGACCUUCAUUCCGAACGAAGUGGAUGGGCUGUGAGCCCCAGUCGCAGCUGGCUGGUAUACAUUUUAAUUUAUAUAUUUUUUUGUCUGCGCUCCGCACUCCUCUCGAGGUGUUCUUUCGUCUUCCCCCCUCCGUCCCUCCCUCCCCUGCUCUGUUUCGGCAUGUGAACUCGCCGACCUUUGGCGACGGGGCGGGCUAGGAGAGGAGCCUCCGCGGAAGGUGGGGAAUAGAAUGGCGGCUCCGACUGGUGCAGUGCAACAGGUCCAGAGCCCGAGCGCGUGGCAACCACAUGUGUACACUUCUUUAGACGGCCGUGAGGUUUGCUCCUCUGAGACAUUGCGCACAAGCGCUUCGCAAACAAAAAGAAAGAAGAUGGGCACACACCCGUUGGAAAUGGCAACUGCUGUUUCAGGACGCUGAGCAGGAGGUGAGGGCCUGAUAGCUCCAGCUGCGCUUGAGGUCUUCACAGC
rnacentral:misc_RNA from 1 species